rnacentral:rRNA from 1 species
UGGGGAAUCUUGGACAAUGGGGAAACCCUGAUCCAGCGAUGCCGCGUGAGCGAAGAAGGCCUUAGGGUUGUAAAGCUCUUUCGCCCGCGACGAUAAUGACGGUAGCGGGAGAAGAAGCCCCGGCUAACUCCGUGCCAGCAGCCGCGGUAAUACGGAGGGGGCUAGCGUUGUCCGGAAUUACUGGGCGUAAAGCGCGCGUAGGUGGUCCGCCAAGUCGGGGUGAAAGCCCAGGGCUCAACCCUGGAAUUGCCUCCGAGACUGAUGGACUCGAGUUCGGGAGAGGAGAGCGGAAUUCCCAGUGUAGAGGUGAAAUUCGUAGAUAUUGGAAGAACACCGGUGGCGAAGGCGGCUCUUCUUGGCCCGCAACUGACGCUGAGGCGCGAAAGCGU